GAUGAAGAACGCAGCGAAAUGCGAUAAGUAGUGUGAAUUGCAGAAUUCAGUGAAUCAUCGAAUCUUUGAACGCACAUUGCGCCCCUUGGUAUUCCAUGGGGCAUGCCUGUUCGAGCGUCAUUUGUACCUUCAAGCUCUGCUUGGUGUUGGGUGUUUGUCUCGCCUCUGCGUGUAGACUCGCCUCAAAACAAUUGGCAGCCGGCGUAUUGAUUUCGGAGCGCAGUACAUCUCGCGCUUUGCAUUCAUAACGACGACGUCCAAAAGUACAUUUUUACACUCUUGACCUCGGAUCAGGUAGGGAUACCCGCUGAACUUAAGCAUAUCAAUAAGCGGAGGA
rnacentral:misc_RNA from 1 species